CCACACUGUUUGUAUCGCCAUAUUUCUUACAUUCCAUUGAAUUGUCAGAAGGAAUAGUGGAAUAAAAUGUGGUAAUGGCGAGUGCGUCUGUUCCGCAUAUUUGAUGUUGUGAUAAAGUUGGGCGUACGCGUCCGCCUUAUCAAUCGUGACAAAGUUUUUUUAUUUCGAAUAUGUCUACUUAAUUUUGAUAUAUACACUUAGUUUUUAAAGAAAUUUAACCGACAAUAAAAAAAAUAAAGUGUCCAGUGUACAAUGUCGGUGAUUCAUUAUCGGAAUAUGGAAGUAUACGACAGAUAAUAGAAGAUAAUCGUGUUAUAGAAAAGAAAUUUAUAAUUUUAUAUAUUUCAUAACACGUGCAAUUGUUUGAUUAUAUUCGUUUUGUAAUACAUAAAAUAGUAUUUCAAACGUGCUAUUGUAUUAGAAAUAAUCAAUAAAUGCUUGUAAACGUAUAACAAGAUAAUAUGAAAUCGGAACGAACAUGAAGGUAACUGUGUGUUUCGACAACGUCCGGGUGGUGGUUCCUUGUGGGGAUGGAACCCUACUGGUUAAAGAUUUGAUGCAUGAGGCUACUCUAAGGUAUAAAAAGGCAACUGGAAAGAACGAUAAUACAUUAACUAUAAAUAGUUUAUCUUCCUUAACUGGAGGUGGUCUCUUGGAUCCAGAUGAUAGGUUAUGUGAUGUAGCUGAUGAUAGAGAACAGAUUGUUGCUCAUUUCGUGAGUUCUGAUGUUUCGCAUGCUGGUGGUGAUGGAGCAAGUUCAGUUGGAACAAAUAGUCCUGAUUUUUUUCAUUCAGAUAGUAAAGAACCGACUUAUACAAUUGAUACACAUUCCUCAAUUCCUAUCAAUGCUAUUAAAAGAGAAAGUACCAAAAGAUUAUCAAUGCAUGCAUUAUCAACCAGAGAGCCAUGUUUAACUACAUAUUCUGCUCAGUCCCUUCCCAGAGAGUCUCGGCGUAGAGAACCAUUGGGACAAGAUGCCAAAGUGUCAUUUGAAUAUAUAAAUGCCAAUAUAGAAUCAGGAGAUCAAGGAGAAAUUCGAGAAAUUGUGAUAAAGAAUGAAGCAGGACCACUGGGGCUUCAUGUGGUGCCAUGUUAUGAUUUGUUGGGUAAUGAUCAGGGACUAAGAGUUGAAGGCAUUGAACCAAAUGGCAGAAUUGCUAGAGACGGUCAAAUUGAUUUGCACGAUAAGAUUAUAAAAAUAAAUGGUCACAAUCUAUUGCAUAUACCAUUUUCUAAAGUGCAAGAGAUUUUUCGUACCUGUAUGACUGAAUCAUGUUUACAAAUUUCUAUAGUGAAACAUAAAAAGUCACAUGAGAAGUCAUUACAUAAAAAUCAUAGUAAUACUAGUGGAGGAUCAGAAAAGGAAAUCGACGAUAAUGUUAAAAGACUUCAAUGUAGCAAUUAUAAUUUGUUGCAGACUGCUAAUACCCGUAAGAUUGGACGUAUGAUAGAGAUAGAAUUAACAAAAGGGAGUAAUGGUCUUGGAUUUAGCGUCACAACACGUGAUAAUCCUGCAGGAGGCCAUUGUCCGAUAUAUAUUAAAAAUAUAUUACCAAAAGGUGCUGCAGUCGAAGAUGGUAGAUUAAGGCCAGGAGAUAGAUUAUUGGAGGUAAAUAAUAAAGAAAUGACUGGUAAAAGUCAAGCAGAAGUGGUUUCGCUUCUGAGAAGUAUUCCACCUGGUGGAAAAGUAAGAAUGGUGGUAUCACGCCAGGAAGAAAUUUCUUCAAGCAUUCCAGAUUCUCAUUCUCACGUUACUUCCACAAGUCAAGCCUCAGAAACUACUGAUAAUUCAAAAUAUUGGAAUGCAUUGAAUGCAUCACCAAUAAAAAAGAACGCUGAAGUGCAAGAUAAAAUUAAUACCCAUAACUACGAUAAAUGCACAUUUAAACCGGUGAAAUCUUCAGAAGAUAUUGUUUUAUCACCACGUAAAAAUCGUAUGAUAUUGACUUUAGAUAUACCAGUACACGAUUCAGAGAAAGCUGGAUUAGGUGUUAGUGUUAAAGGAAAGACUACGAAUACAGAUGAAAACACUAAUAUGGAUUUAGGAAUUUUUAUUAAAAGUGUCCUUCAUGGAGGUGCAGCCUCUAGGGAUGGAAGAUUAAGGACCAAUGAUCAAUUGCUCAAUGUAAAUGGGGUAUCAUUAUUAGGAUUAUCAAACUCGGAUGCAAUGGAAACACUGAGAAGAGCGAUGCUCAAUACAAACAGCUCUUUAACUGGAGUGAUCACUCUCACGAUAGCCAGGAGGAUAUCUUCCUAUGAUGGAAAUGAAAAAAAUUUGUCGGAAAACUUAUCUUCUCAGUGUAAACUGGAAUCAGCCAACAGUAUAUACAUAUCUGAUUCCACGAAAGCCAGCGAGGGGAGGGUAAAAGAGAAGAACAAUUUGAAUUCCCAAUCAGAUAUCUUGGACAAUGGUGGACUAUUGUCUUGCGUUAUGGCGUCACCGUGGAAUCCAGUUAUCGAUAGAUUAACCGAACAGUAUAAUAAGAAUAGUUUAAGGAAUGAAAGUUACUGUAUCGCUACCAAUAAAACAUGGAUAGAACCUGCGAGCGUGAAAAAAAUUACAAUAGGACAGCGUGAUGACCGCGCGGAACCAGUAUUGCUAGAAGAUUCCAAUGAACCGCAGUGCAAUGAAGCUAAACGAAACACGGACGAUAAAGAUAGUCAGUAUUCCGGGGAUCCGACGUACGAUAGUCAAUUAUCUUUGGAGGAAUUUAGCUCCUCUUCCAAUAAGUUUUCCCGCGAUGCUUUAGGUAGGCAGAGUAUGUCGGAGAAGCGACAUGCCGCUUUAGAUGCCAAGAAUACGGAUACUUAUAAGAGAAAUAAAAAAUUACGGGAAGGCCGCGAAAAUAAGAACCAGGAACAAGCGAGUCAGAAGCAUUCGAAUCAAUCGGCUGAUUCGGAAGAUCAUACCAGGCGGGGGGUUAAGUCGGAAAGUUACGACAAGAAUAAAAAUAAAGCUGCCACCGAGGGCAGUACGGCAAGUGAGGGUAAUAUGAAACGAUACGAGAAAUCGGUCGAUCCUACUCAGUCAGAAUACGUAUAUACUAUACCUGGAUGUAAUAAUAAGUACACUUCUCCAAGGAAACACUGGCUUGUCGAUGAUGUACAUGGCGAGAUAACGAGCAAUAAUUUUAAGGAUGAUCGCGAGGGUUUUCCAAAUAGUCGGGGGGAUGUGAAGCAAGCAUCUCUCAACUCGGCUUUGGAUGAUCGAUACAAACGUUCACGAAAGAAAGGGGGAAUACGUUCGAUGCUUCGAUUAGGGAAGAAUAGGAAAUCGCUCAAUUUCGGUGAUAGUAUAGAAGCUCGUCACGAAUCCAGUAAUUAUUGCAGUGGAACGAUCAAUUAUAUCGCAUAAUAUACAAAAAAAGAGGGGGGGGGAGGAAUUUAUAACGUAGAUACGGAAUUCAAAGUAUACAUAAACAUACUUGUGCAUAACACCUAGAAACACAUAUUAUACACGAAAUAUAUACAUUUUUAACACCCAUCGCACGUAUGUACUCCGUCGCAUCGUAUGUACUUAAAUAUGUAUGAUUUGUCCCAAAGUGCCUUAUAUCAUCGCAAAUUAAAAAAAAAAAAAAAAAAAAAAAAAAAAAAUUUAUUCUGUAUAUAUAUAUAAUUUUUGUAUUUGUCUUCAAUUCGUACCGAUCAUAUACAUGUAUCUAUUUUUAAAAUAAAACUAUGCACGUAAUAUAAACAGUGUGUAAGUUGAAUAACCGAUAAUUUUAAAAUUGGAACUACUAUCGAUAUCUAUUAGGCAAAUAUUUGGUCAUCGUUUUGAUAAUGUUAAAGAUUCCUCAUAAAUUUUAAUUUACAUCCAAAUGAAGUAACAAUCGAUACAAACAGUGUGUUAUUAAACUUAGGAUAAUCACGCAUUUCAAUUAACCCCGAAUCAAUUGUUGUACCAACAAAAGCGUUAUAGGGGGAAGAUAAAUAUUAGAAAACCAAAAAUAUAUUUUAAAAAGCGAGUAUUAAACGAACUUUUAACACCCUUCUUUAUUAAUCCUAACAAGGAUAAAACUCUGGAACAAUUAUGCGAAAACACAAAAACGAAGGAAUUCGAAAACCGUCUUGGACCUUAUGAUACGAUAAUAGCGAGAGAAG